rnacentral:tRNA from 1 species
UAACUCAGUUGGUAGAGCAUGAGACUCUUAAUCUCAGGGUCGUGGGUUCGUACCCCAU